AUCCAGCUGGCAAGUCCCAAAUAGAAAUAGGACGAAAUGCACAUCCUGGAU
rnacentral:hammerhead_ribozyme from 1 species